GUAGUUUUGUGCUGAUAUAUUGGUGGAGUUGGUAUGGUAUUAUUUUGAUUUGGCUGGUUAAUGGGAUUUAGUAUUUGUGAAGGGAUUGUUGAGAUGACCCAUAAUUAUAUAGUUUCUUUUUAUAUCUUUUAUUUACAACAAUAGGUUGGGGUGGUGAAAUUGCUGGUGGGUUUGUGAGCUUUUGGUAUCUUAAGGAAAUGUUUCCUGGGUUAAUUUUGGUAUUGAAGUUAUGGGUUUUGUUCUGUAUCUCAGGGUUAGGAAUUCUGAGGAUCUUGAUAUAUAGGACACUCUAGUUUAUGACGUGAUUAAGUAGCCAAAUUUGUUUU
rnacentral:misc_RNA from 1 species